rnacentral:tRNA from 2 species
AGCUCGGUAGCUUAAUUGGUAAAGUACUCAUCUAGCAUACAAGAGUCGUGUGUUCAAAUCCCACCUGAGCAC